UGCUGUUUAAAAUGAAUGGAUCUCUAUUUCAAGAUGGCAUGUCUAGUACACUUACGUGCACCGCCUCACAAGCACACUGAAAUGACAGAAAAGGUAAGAAAAUAGAUGCAUAGACAAAAGAUUACAGAGAAAGGUGCUAUUAACAAAUGUGUUAUGUUACAGUUUCUUGGAACUUCCCAAGCAGAUGGGAAUUAUGAAACCAAAAGAAAAAUGACAUUCAUAGAAGAAGAAAUAAAAUUUGCCAAUAAGGUUAUUAAUAGAUGUUUAACAUCACUAACUGGACAUACUGCCAGUUGAAACAAUGAUGGCUGGGUGCAGUGGCUCACACCUGUAAUUCCGGCACUUUGGGAGGCUGAGGCAGGAGGACUGUUUGAGCCCAAGAGUCUGAGACCAGCCUGGGCAACAUAGCGAAACCCUGUCUCUACAAAAAAUACAAAAAUUAGCUGGGUGUGGUGGUGUCUGCCUGUAGUCUUGGCUACUCAGGAGGCUAAGGUGGGAGGAUCACUUGAGCCCAGGAGGACAAGACUGCAGUGAGCCGUGACUGUGCCACUGCAUACCAGCUUGGGCAACAGAGCAGAGCUGUUUCAAAACAAAACAAAACAAAACAGAACAGAAGAACAGAACAGAACAGAACAGGACACAAUGAGAACAUUUUUCAUCCAUCCAAUUGGCAAAUAAUUUCUAGAGCUGGUGAGAAGAUGGGGAAAUUGGAAUGUUUGGUCCCCGCUGGUGGGUGUGUUGUUGGUACAGCAUUUUUGGAUGGCAAUUUGGCAGUAUCAAGAUUUUAGGUGAAUAUACUCUUAGACCUAACAACUUCUUCUUAGAACGAACCUACAAAAAAUAGACAAGGAUAAGUGCAACGAUGUUCACUGUGGCGUGGGUUAGUAACAAUAAAACCUCCUAAACAUCUGCCAAAGGAAUAAUGGUUAAAUAAGGUAUGGCACGUGCAGUCUGUGGAAUUCCAGGCAGUUAUUAUAGACAAUGAGCUGGAUCCAUGUGAACUGAUGGGGAAGGAUGUUCCCACUACAGAAUAUAAGCACAUGAGGGCAGGGUUUUGCAUUUGCUUCCUCCUGUCUCCCUAAUGCCUAGAACAGUGUCAGACACAUAGUGCAUGCUCAGAAAGUAUUUGUCAAAUGAAUGGAUACACUUUCUAGGACACUAUGAAUUAGGACAAUGGACUGAAAAAUAAGCAGAAAAUUUAAACACACCAGUGACCACAGUGCAACUGCAACUGACGAUCAGUUUCCACCAAACUGCAACAGAGAGAGUGGCUUUGCCGUCUGGGCCAGCUGAGGACUCUCCUUGGAACCCAAAGAAGCAGUUUGUUUCCACCUACUCCCAAGAGCUGAAGAUUAUAAGCCAGAAGCAAACAAAGGCAGGCAAGGAAAUUUGAGGUUGUUGCAUCUGGAAGUAAACAUGUAGCUACUUCUUCUAAUAAAACAGAGGGACACAUUUUGAUUACCUGAAAAAUUCAGUUCUAUCUUUUGAUUUGGUCUGGACACCUGGAGGUCAGCAACCGAGAGCAGGAAGGAGGCACAGCAACAACAGAACAACAACAAGAGGCUGCGACAGGGGCGGCGUGGGUCAAAAGGAAGCAACCUGGAGGACGGUCCUCCUUGCGGCUUGGAGCAGAGCUUCAGGUUGGGCACCACGACAGAGCUGGGCCAGAAGUCUAACACAGCCUGUUUGGAACACAACCCGGGAUACUUGUGUGGUUGGGUUCAGUCAGUCAAGGGAAACAAGAAGCUAACCCGUGGCUGGGAGUGUUCAUGCAAUGCUCGUGGAAUACUCAGCGCAAAGCCUGCCCGCAAGCACAAAGGGUAUCAAGGAAGAGUUAAAUGGGAAGUUGGGUCAUGGUGUGGAAUCAUAUUAAGCUCUUAGGUGCUCUGACCCUGGAGGAGAGGGAUUUCACUGAGAUGAGAAGGAUGCGUGAUGGGAUCCAUGGGCACUGGAGGCUUAUAUUUCCCUCUCAUGCCAUGCUCAAGUGAUGGGAGGGCAGAGGCAUGAGAGGGUGCUAAGGGACUAAACGCCAUGGCCACAGGAGCUCUGGCCAAGGCCCCAGGAGUCAAGAAGUGCACAGAGGGCAUGGAUGCGUUGGAAAGGGGAGGUGCUGGCCUUUUAAAGAUCAUAUGGCUUGGACAAGGAACAUGCAUGAGAGAAGUACUGGACUUUUCAUUUCCUGCCCUGGGCCUUGCCAGUGGAGGAGCACUGAGAUCUGCUAUAAUCAACACUCUUAUUGGAAGCAUUACUGUUCCGUGAAAAAUCGCCUGUGCCUGGGCUUCUCUUGC
rnacentral:lncRNA from 1 species